UACGUAGGGUGCGAGCGUUGUCCGGAAUUAUUGGGCGUAAAGAGCUCGUAGGCGGUGUGUCACGUCGGCCGUGAAAACCUGCAGCUUAACUGUGGGCGUGCGGUCGAUACGGGCAUCACUGGAGUUCGGCAGGGGAGACUGGAAUUCCUGGUGUAGCGGUGAAAUGCGCAGAUAUCAGGAGGAACACCGGUGGCGAAGGCGGCAUCCUGGACCAACACUGACGCUGAGGAGCGAAAGCCAGGGGAGCAAACGGG
rnacentral:rRNA from 1 species